rnacentral:lncRNA from 1 species
UCUUUCUCUGGAGAUUGCUCCUCUUGGUGUCUUUUUGCAAAAAGGUGGAGAGGAUUUCUGCUCACCGUCAGCUUUCUGCAGUCUUACAGUUGGUGAGGUGUGAUGGCUACAACUCCUUUGCCACCUGUGGAGAUUAUGCCUUCUUGCGUCAGAAGCUUACUGUGAGCCUGACGGAGCUUUGCAUAAGUAACAGCAAGUGUUUUGGAGUAGAUUCUGACAAAAAGCCAUACAACUAUUUACAGAAAUAAUUGGAGUCCUUCUAUUUUGUACAAGCAUCAUUCCUGUUCAGUAGUGGAGGAAGAGUUGCUUUAUUUACUGUAUGGAUGGCUCCGUGACAAUACAACAGUGAAGGAGGAUGUAUAGUAGAUUAAAAAAUCCCAUAAAGUCCUUUCUGCUAAUUGAAAAGUGAUCCACAGUGACUGUAGGAUUAAGAAGGUGUGUAUAGCUUUGUCCAAGCAAGUAGUGAAGACAAUGGCUUGGUAACAAGGUAGCUAAAGCUUUUGCAAGGUUAUUUCAUAGACUGUAGAGCAGCUGUUUGGUUUUUUUCCUCUCCACUUUUUCCGUGUUUUUUUUUCUACAUGCUGUUUGUAUAAUGUUCCCAGUAUUUAUAAAGAAAAAAUCAUCAAUAAAGGUCUUCCAAGAACUAACAUCACGUCACUCACAACACACUCAGAGCAACAGAACAUCACAGUACAGGCAAAACAUCUUGCAGGAAAAAAAAAAAAAACACAACCUUUCCUUGAAAAACCUUUCCUUGAAUAGUUUUACUUAUUCUUCUCUCCCUGUCUUCUUCCAUGAUCAGCUUAGCUGUACUCCACAAAGCCAUUCCAGUGGAAGAGCAGCUUCACUCUGCCAAGCCCAGCAAAAGAGAGGAUACAAAUGAUGUUUUAUUGAUUGUGGACUGUCUGACAUUGUGAUACUGAAAGAUGGUCAAGGUUUUGUCUCCAGUACUGUAAUUUACUACACAAUUUUUGUGGCCGUGUUUUGUGUG